rnacentral:rRNA from 1 species
GAUGAACGCUGGCGGCGUGCCUAAUACAUGCAAGUCGAGCGAACGGACGAGAAGCUUGCUUCUCUGAUGUUAGCGGCGGACGGGGGAGUAACACGUGGAUAACCUCCCUUUAAGACUGGGAUAACUUCGGGAAACGGGAGCUAAUACCGGAUGAUAUUUUAAACCGCAUGGUUAAAAAGUGAAAGACGGUCUUGCUGUCACUUAUAGAGGGAUCCGCGCUGCAUUAGCUAGUUGGUAAGGUAACGGCUUACCAAGGCAACGAUGCAUAGCCGACCUGAGAGGGUGAUCGGCCACACUGGAACUGAGACACGGUCCAGACUCCUACGGGAGGCAGCAGUAGGGAAUCUUCCGCAAUGGGCGAAAGCCUGACGGAGCAACGCCGCGUGAGUGAUGAAGGUCUUCGGAUCGUAAAACUCUGUUAUUAGGGAAGAACAUAUGUGUAAGUAACUGUGCACAUCUUGACGGUACCUAAUCAGAAAGCCACGGCUAACUACGUG